AAGGGCUGCACUUGCAGUAUAUGAAAAUUCCCAGGCUGGGAAGAUGAUGAGCUGCGACGACGAGGGGCUGGGGUUGGUGGAAGCAUGGUAGCACAUUGGAAAGACAUACAGAAGGCCAGUGUAGCCAGAGUAUGGAGGGCCAGGCAGGAGAUGAGGCUGAGGAGGGAGCAGGGGGCUGGUCCACACAGGGUCCCAUCAGUCUGUCUGUCCUAAGCACACUGGGAAACCACUAGUAGGUUUUAAGCAAGCAAGGGGGGAGGAUACAACCAAAUUUACAUCCUGAAAAGACCAUAUUGGUCUUCUCAAGUGAGGAUAAGAGACUGGAGUGGGCAGGUGGGCACACACAUAAACCAGUUAGGAGGCUGUUAGAGUCCAAGGCAAUGGUGGAGGUGGUACGUGAAACCCAGCACAAAGGCAAGUAGAUGUUUGAGACAGUAAAUCAACAAGACAAGAUGGUAGACAGAUAUGUUGUACCUAAGAGAAGAAACUUCAGAGACAGUCAGUUCUAAGAUUCCACAGCUCAUGGGAGAGCCUUGAACUUGAGAUGGGAAUGUGUGAGCGACCCGAGAGCAAGGCCAGGGGAAUGACGGGUGUGCACGGACUUGGCUCAGGGAGAAGAAAGGAGGUCCUGAAACUGAGCUGAGAGCAAUUCCAACAUAACAGCCUAACACCACACAACUGGAAUCUAAUCAGAAGACAAACCUGAAGUGAGGGCCACUCUAUGAAAUAAAUGACCUAUGAUCUUCAACCAUGUCAAGGUCAUGAAAGUCAAGAGCGACUGAGAAACUGUUCCACUCAAAAGGAAGCCAAAGACACUUAACUACUGAAUAUAAUACAUGAUUCUAAAGUGGAACCUUCUGCUAAAAAGAAAUAAUUUAUUAUAUCUAUAUUACACAAAGGAUUAUAUGUAUAUGACACUAAAUAUAUAAUACAUAUACGUAUGUAUAUAUAUAUAAUACAUACACACACAUAUACACAUAUAUAUGUGUAUGUAUGUCAAGAAUUGGGACAACUAGUCAAACCUGAAUGGGGUUGACAGAUUUGAUGGUUGUCAUGUAUUAAGACUAAUUUCCUAGUUCUGUUGGUUAAAAUCACAGAUCUGCAGUAGGGUACCCUUGUGUAGGGAUCACAGACUAAGGUAUUCCAGGGUGAUAGGAAAAGAGGUUGUCAACAUCCUCUUAAGAGGAAAAUAAAGUUUUUUGUACUAGUCUUGCUGGAUUUUUUUUUUGUGAGUCCAUGGAUACUGGAGAGGAGAGAAAACUACAGAAAAGGAGGAUCAAUCAACGGUGCAGGGCACAUGAGCAUGAGGUCUGAUAAGACCUGACAGGGUUGUGUUCUGCAAGGGAAAGCAUUGGCUAGAAAAGGAGAAAGAGAUGGUCAGGCAGGUUGGGGCUCAUAUCCAAAUGGUGAUUAUGGACAAAACAAAUGCCUUGGAACCACAUUCAAGGACCUUCAACAUAAGGCAUUGUCAAUUAAUUCCUUAAGCAAUAUGUAUAUGCAACUUGGUAAACACAUUUAUUUCUAAUAAUAGAUAAACUAUUUUAGGUUGCCUCUUCCUCAACUUUAAGGGAAACUCUAACAAUUGAGAAUGGUGUUAGAAAAAAAUACUGUUUAAAAGUCACAGAGCAAUAAAAUUUAGUGUGUGUAUGUAUACAUGUAUAUAAUUUCAUUUUAAUAAUACCACAGGUUAUUUAAAAUAUCAUCCAAUACUUCAAAACCAACACAGGUUGCUUUAGUAACUAUUCAAUAGUUUCUAAACAAAACCAAAUUUAUUUAUCAUUUUUUUUUAACCUCUUGACAGUAUUUGAGCAAUGGCAAAGAAUGGGCCAGAUAAAGAGUUGCAUAAAAAUGUUAAAUCCAGCCUUGUUACUGGCCAGCUGAAACUCAAUCACAACAUAGAGAAAAAUUAACUGAGUAUA
rnacentral:lncRNA from 1 species